rnacentral:rRNA from 1 species
UACAGAGGGUGCGAGCGUUAUUCGGAAUUACUGGGCGUAAAGCGCACGUAGGUGGCGACGUAAGUCGGGUGUGAAAGCCCCGGGCUCAACCUGGGAAUUGCAUUCGAGACUGCAUUGCUGGAGUACGGAAGAGGAAGGCGGAAUUCCCGGUGUAGCGGUGAAAUGCGUAGAUAUCGGGAGGAACAUCAGUGGCGAAGGCGGCCUUCUGGUCCAGUACUGACACUCAAGUGCGAAAGCGUGGGGAGCAAACAGG